rnacentral:rRNA from 1 species
GAUGAACGCUGGCGGCGUGCCUAAUACAUGCGAGUCGAGCGAACAGACGAGGAGCUUGCUCCUCUGACGUUAGCGGCGGACGGGUGAGUAACACGUGGAUAACCUACCUAUAAGACUGGGAUAACUUCGGGAAACCGGAGCUAAUACCGGAUAAUAUAUUGAACCGCAUGGUUCAAUAGUGAAAGACGGUUUUGCUGUCACUUAUAGAUGGAUCCGCGCCGCAUUAGCUAGUUGGUAAGGUAACGGCUUACCAAGGCAACGAUGCGUAGCCGACCUGAGAGGGUGAUCGGCCACACUGGAACUGAGACACGCUCCAGACUCCUACGGGAGGCAGCAGUAGGGAAUCUUCCGCAAUGGGCGAAAGCCUGACGGAGCAACGCCGCGUGAGUGAUGAAGGUCUUCGGAUCGUAAAACUCUGUUAUUAGGGAAGAACAAAUGUGUAAGUAACUAUGCACGUCUUGACGGUACCUAAUCAGAAAGCCACGGCUAACUACGUG